GUACGGGGUACGUCAUUUUUAGAAAAACUAAGGUACGGGUACGUCCCUAUAAUUUUUUUAAAAAAUAUAAUUAUAUAUAUCAAAUAAUAUAGUUAUAUUGUUAAUACAAAUAAUUAAACAUAAAAAAUAUCACAACACACUUUAAAUGUAAUUUAAAUUGUUCGAAACAUCAAAAUAUGAAAUUAAAAAUCAAUUAGCUCAAAAAGAGUCAAUUAUUUCCCUCUUCAUCAUCACUAAAAAGAGUGACCUCUAGUUAGGUUCACCGCGAGAAAGACUAGCAAUUUCAAGAAUAUCAACUAUAUAUUAAAUAAAUCUCAUUCAUCUCUACGAAUAUCCCACGUUUUUGUUGCACUUUCAUUAUAAGUAUUAAUAUUUCUCUUUCCUGAGAGAAGACGAAAAUUGGUAUGAAUAAAAACUAGAUCUUCAUCUCUCUUUGAAUUUAGUCUAUUCUUUUUCAAUGAAUGAGUGAAUAAUUCCGGCGGCUAUUUUGUUAUUGUUUUUAGGCAAUAAUUGCUACUUUAUAUUAUAAACAAAUAAAAAACGUAAAUCUUCCUAUAAAAAAAACUAAUAAUAAAAGAAAAAGGAGAAAAAAAAUCGUGUUUUUUUGGAUUGGUGUACCACGCGAGUACCACAGGU
rnacentral:lncRNA from 1 species